rnacentral:rRNA from 1 species
UACAGAGGUCCCAAGCGUUGUUCGGAUUUACUGGGCGUAAAGGGAGCGUAGGUGGCGGGCCAAGUCUAAUGUGAAAGCUCUGAGCUCAACUCAGAAAUGGCAUUGGAUACUGGCUUGCUUGAGGAUUGGAGGGGAGACUGGAAUGCUCGGUGUAGCAGUGAAAUGCGUAGAUAUCGGGAGGAACACCAGUGGCGAAGGCGAGUCUCUGGGAUGAUGCUGACGCUGAUGCGCGAAAGCCAGGGGAGCAAACGGG